rnacentral:rRNA from 1 species
UACGUAGGGGGCAAGCGUUGUUCGGAUUUACUGGGCGUAAAGGGCGCGUAGGCGGCUUGGCAAGUGGAUGGUGAAAUCCCUCGGCUUAACCGAGGAACUGCCAUCCAGACUGCUUUGCUUGAGGCCGGGAGAGGUGAGUGGAAUUCCCAGUGUAGCGGUGAAAUGCGUAGAUAUUCGGAAGAACACCAGUGGCGAAGGCGACUCACUGGACACAUAUUGACGCUGAGGUGCGAAAGCGUGGGGAGCAAACAGG